GGUUAAGUUAGAAAGGGCGCACGGUGGAUGCCUUGGCACUAGGAGCCGAUGAAGGACGGGACGAACACCGAUAUGCUUCGGGGAGCUGUAAGCAAGCUUUGAUCCGGAGAUUUCCGAAUGGGGAAACCCACUGCUCGUAAUGGAGUAGUAUCCAUACUUGAAUACAUAGAGUAUGAGAAGGCAUACCCGGGGAACUGAAACAUCUAAGUACCCGGAGGAAGAGAAAGCAAAUGCGAUUCCCUGAGUAGCGGCGAGCGAAACGGGAACAGCCCAAACCAAGAGGCUUGCCUCGUGGGGUUGUAGGACACUCUAUACGGAGUUACAAAGGAAUGAUAUAAGCGAAGAGGUCUGGAAAGGCCCGCCAGAGAAGGUAACAGCCCUGUAACUGAAAUGUCAUUCCCUCCAGAGUGGAUCCUGAGUACGGCGGACCACGUGAAAUUCCGUCGGAAUCCGGGAGGACCAUCUCCCAAGGCUAACUACUCCCUAGUGACCGAUAGUGAACCAGUACCGGGAGGGAAAGGUGAAAAGCACCCCGGAAGGGGAGUGAAAUAGAUCCUGAAACCGUGUGCCUACAAGUAGUCAGAGCCCGUUAACGGGUGAUGGCGUGCCUUUUGUAGAAUGAACCGGCGAGUUACGAUCCCGUGCAAGGUUAAGCAGAAGAUGCGGAGCCGCAGCGAAAGCGAGUCUGAAUAGGGCGCAUGAGUACGUGGUCGUAGACCCGAAACCAGGUGAUCUACCCAUGUCCAGGGUGAAGUUCAGGUAACACUGAAUGGAGGCCCGAACCCACGCACGUUGAAAAGUGCGGGGAUGAGGUGUGGGUAGGGGUGAAAUGCCAAUCGAACCUGGAGAUAGCUGGUUCUCUCCGAAAUAGCUUUAGGGCUAGCCUCAAGGUAAGAGUCUCGGAGGUAGAGCACUGAUUGGACUAGGGGCCCCUACCGGGUUACCGAAUUCAGUCAAACUCCGAAUGCCGAUGACUUAUCCUUGGGAGUCAGACUGCGAGUGAUAAGAUCCGUAGUCGAAAGGGAAACAGCCCAGACCGCCAGCUAAGGUCCCAAAGUAUACGUUAAGUGGAAAAGGAUGUGGAGUUGCUUAGACAACCAGGAUGUUGGCUUAGAAGCAGCCACCAUUUAAAGAGUGCGUAAUAGCUCACUGGUCGAGUGACUCUGCGCCGAAAAUGUACCGGGGCUAAACGUAUCACCGAAGCUGCGGACUGUUCUUACGAACAGUGGUAGGAGAGCGUUCUAAGGGCUGUGAAGCCAGACCGGAAGGACUGGUGGAGCGCUUAGAAGUGAGAAUGCCGGUAUGAGUAGCGAAAGACGGGUGAGAAUCCCGUCCACCGAAUGCCUAAGGUUUCCUGAGGAAGGCUCGUCCGCUCAGGGUUAGUCGGGACCUAAGCCGAGGCCGAAAGGCGUAGGCGAUGGACAACAGGUUGAUAUUCCUGUACCACCUCCUCACCAUUUGAGCAAUGGGGGGACGCAGGAGGAUAGGGUAAGCGCGGUCUUGGAUAUCCGCGUCCAAGCAGUUAGGCUGGGAAAUAGGCAAAUCCGUUUCCCGUAAAGGCUGAGCUGUGAUGGCGAGCGAAAUUUAGUAGCGAAGUUCCUGAUUCCACACUGCCAAGAAAAGCCUCUAGCGAGGUGAGAGGUGCCCGUACCGCAAACCGACACAGGUAGGCGAGGAGAGAAUCCUAAGGUGAUCGAGAGAACUCUCGUUAAGGAACUCGGCAAAAUGACCCCGUAACUUCGGGAGAAGGGGUGCUUCUUAGGGUGUUAAAGCCCCGAGAAGCCGCAGUGAAUAGGCCCAGGCGACUGUUUAGCAAAAACACAGGUCUCUGCGAAGCCGUAAGGCGAAGUAUAGGGGCUGACGCCUGCCCGGUGCUGGAAGGUUAAGAGGAGCGCUUAGCGUAAGCGAAGGUGCGAAUUGAAGCCCCAGUAAACGGCGGCCGUAACUAUAACGGUCCUAAGGUAGCGAAAUUCCUUGUCGGGUAAGUUCCGACCCGCACGAAAGGCGCAACGAUCUGGGCACUGUCUCAACGAGAGACUCGGUGAAAUUAUAGUACCUGUGAAGAUGCAGGUUACCCGCGACAGGACGGAAAGACCCCGUGGAGCUUUACUGCAGCCUGAUAUUGAAUGUUGGUACAGCUUGUACAGGAUAGGUAGGAGCCUUGGAAACCGGAGCGCUAGCUUCGGUGGAGGCAUCGGUGGGAUACUACCCUGGCUGUAUUGACCUUCUAACCCGCUGCCCUUAUCGGGCAGGGAGACAGUGUCAGGUGGGCAGUUUGACUGGGGCGGUCGCCUCCUAA
rnacentral:rRNA from 1 species